ACCGGCGGCUCGAGUGGUAACCGUUAUUAUUGGGUCUAAAGGGUCUGUAGCCGGCCGGAUAAGUCUCUUGAGAAAUCUGGCAGCUUAACUGUCAGGCUUUCAGGAGAUACUGUCUGGCUCGAGGCCGGGAGAGGUGAGAGGUACUUCAGGGGUAGGGGUGAACUCUUGUAAUCCGUGGAGGAGGACCGGUGGCGAAGGCGUCUCACCAGAACAGACCUGUCGGUGGGGGACGAAAGAUAGGGGAGGAAUCCG
rnacentral:rRNA from 1 species